ACCAGACUCCUACGGGAGGCAGCAGUGAGGAAUAUUGGUCAAUGGGCGAGAGCCUGAACCAGCCAAGUCGCGUGAAGGAUGACGGCCCUACGGGUUGUAAACUUCUUUUGUCAGGGAGCAAUUGAGUCCACGUGUGGGCUUAGCGAGAGUACCUGAAGAAAAAGCAUCGGCUAACUCCGUGCCAGCAGCCGCGGUAAUACGGAGGAUGCGAGCGUUAUCCGGAUUUAUUGGGUUUAAAGGGUGCGUAGGCGGGCUGUUAAGUCAGCGGUCAAAUGUCGGGGCUCAACCCCGGCCUGCCGUCGAAACUGGGUGCCUUGAGUGGGCGAGAAGUACGCGGAAUGCGUGGUGUAGCGGUGAAAUGCAUAGAUAUCACGCAGAACUCCGAUUGCGAAGGCAGCGUACCGGCGCCCAACUGACGCUGAAGCACGAAGGCGUGGGUAUCGAGCAGGAUUAGAUACCCUAGUAA
rnacentral:rRNA from 1 species